rnacentral:rRNA from 1 species
AUAGGGGAGCCGAAGGGAAACCGAGUCUUAACUGGGCGUUAAGUUGCAGGGUAUAGACCCGAAACCCGGUGAUCUAGCCAUGGGCAGGUUGAAGGUUGGGUAACACUAACUGGAGGACCGAACCGACUAAUGUUGAAAAAUUAGCGGAUGACUUGUGGCUGGGGGUGAAAGGCCAAUCAAACCGGGAGAUAGCUGGUUCUCCCCGAAAGCUAUUUAGGUAGCGCCUCGUGAAUUCAUCUCCGGGGGUAGAGCACUGUUUCGGCAAGGGGGUCAUCCCGACUUACCAACCCGAUGCAAACUGCGAAUACCGGAGAAUGUUAUCACGGGAGACACACGGCGGGUGCUAACGUCCGUCGUGAAGAGGGAAACAACCCAGACCGCCAGCUAAGGUCCCAAAGUCAUGGUUAAGUGGGAAACGAUGUGGGAAGGCCCAGACAGCCAGGAUGUUGGCUUAGAAGCAGCCAUCAUUUAAAGAAAGCGUAAUAGCUCACUGGUCGAGUCGGCCUGCGCGGAAGAUGUAACGGGGCUAAACCAUGCACCGAAGCUGCGGCAGCGACGCUGAUGCGUUGUUGGGUAGGGGAGCGUUCUGUAAGCCUGCGAAGGUGUGCUGUGAGGCAUGCUGGAGGUAUCAGAAGUGCGAAUGCUGACAUAAGUAACGAUAAAGCGGGUGAAAAGCCCGCUCGCCGGAAGACCAAGGGUUCCUGUCCAACGUUAAUCGGGGCAGGGUGAGUCGACCCCUAAGGCGAGGCCGAAAGGCGUAGUCGAUGGGAAACAGGUUAAUAUUCCUGUACUUGGUGUUACUGCGAAGGGGGGACGGAGAAGGCUAUGUUGGCCGGGCGACGGUUGUCCCGGUUUAAGCGUGUAGGCUGGUUUUCCAGGCAAAUCCGGAAAAUCAAGGCUGAGGCGUGAUGACGAGGCACUACGGUGCUGAAGCAACAAAUGCCCUGCUUCCAGGAAAAGCCUCUAAGCAUCAGGUAACAUCAAAUCGUACCCCAAACCGACACAGGUGGUCAGGUAGAGAAUACCAAGGCGCUUGAGAGAACUCGGGUGAAGGAACUAGGCAAAAUGGUGCCGUAACUUCGGGAGAAGGCACGCUGAUAUGUAGGUGA